AUCAAAUCAAAUCCAAAUCAAACUGAAUCCAAUUCAAUUAGACUUUGUUUGAACCUCAUUGCUCAAUCAAAUUGAGCUAACUAGUAAUCCAAUUACUAAUUAAUCCUCCUAUAAUUCACUAACACUUAAAAAAUUAUUAAAUUGUAACUUUUGCGUAAGAUUAAUCAUCAAUCACAUUGAUGAUUAUACACUUCAACGAUUCAUAAUCGUUGAUCAACCAU
rnacentral:lncRNA from 1 species